GGUUAAAACACUUUUAAUGAAAAGGGAAAGACACUAAUAUCUCCCUUGUCUGCUCUUCACAUUUUACUAUGUUAGGAAGCUCUGGAGCCUAUACCUUUGGAGGAGAAACCAUCAUUCAAGUCAAUCAAUAGCAGAACCCUCACUCUCUCCCCCUCAGGACUCCUGUUCCAAAUGAUCCUAUGUUAAGAGUAAAUACUACAUCUCAUUACAAGACGGAGAGGCAGGGAGAAAACCACCUAGAGCUCAUCUCCCAAGGUCUGGGACUCUAAGAACCAGACGGUGGCAAAGACAUGAGCCCUGGUCCAUAGACAGGCAAAAUGGGGAGGAAACAGGCCUUGAGAAAGGAAGACAAGGAAAAUACAAGGGGCCAGGGUACAAAGUAGGGAGUUAUCUAAAACUAGAAGCACACUAGUGCUAGGAAAUCCCCUAUGACCUGAGGUGCAUUGCUGCACACUAAGUCACUAACAGUCCAAAAGAACAUUCGUGAGACCCAUCCAAUCGAGAAUUCGAGGUCCCCUCCCUCACAUCAUGCCCCUUUCUUAACCUCACGUGUUCCCAGCAAGCCCUAUGCUUUAGCAACGCUCUUCAACUCUCCAUCAUUCCUCCUUCAAUGACCCUCACCAAUAAUGCUUGUUAAAGACAUGAACUUCACAUUUCCCAAAAGAUCCCACGAGAGACCUGCUGCUAAGACAUCUGCUCGUUUCCUAACUUUGACAGGCCAUGAUGAAGGAACAGGAGAAGCUGGAGGUGUCUUGGCAAACUGACCAGCCAACACCUUUGCCUGAAUGGGAGUUUACUGGGAAGAAUGUCCUAUAUGCUCUUCGUUUCUCCCUACCCCUUAGGGCUGAGCCGCCAGAUACAGAUAUUGUUGUAUCUUCAUUGCUGGCACCUUCCAGAGCAGGGAAAAGAAGAAAUGUACAGUUUGCUACUUUUCUUCUCUGACGGGCUUCUCAGGCACUGCCUUGGAUGCAGGAGACCGAAAUAGGAAGAGGGGGGCUCUCUUCUCCUUGGCCUCUCUGGAUCCCAUUGCUGGAGGCACGUUCCCAGCCAUAGUUCCUGGGCCAAACAGCACUGGUGGUGCCAGACCUAAACUGGUAGUGGAGGUGGAGCCGGAACUCCGGGGCUUGGUGGGCAGGUCCCUUGACAGGAAAGCUGUGUACUGGUUCCAGAAAGACAGGGGACCUACCCUCACCAGUUGGGCAGGAACAUCCUGGGACAGGAAGUCCUGCAGGUUGACCUGGUCACCAGAGAGGAGUGGCACUGGGCCCUCCAGGGACAGCUGCCGGCCCCUUCGGGCUGGGCUGCAGUUCCAAAUGUGGGUGCUCAGGUGCACCUGCCAAAGGGAAAGGGAGAGGAAGAAAGGAGAGGGGGGAGAGGGGUCACCCCAGGGAAGCUGGAGGGGGAUCCCCUUGGGAAUGUGAAAGCUGCAGAGAAACUAUUUUCCUCAGGUACAGUGAGUGAAGAGGGAAGAAAAAAUUCAUCAGGGGGCCAUCCCCCUGGCAAGCACAGCCAUUUCCAAGCUCAGGGACUAGAGAGAAGCCACGGGGGAUGUACCACAGAAGGACUCAGAGAAAAAAGACAGAUAAGGGCUCGUAAAUCCUGUGGAGGUGCUUCUACAGAGCUCU
rnacentral:lncRNA from 1 species